UUUCUACUCCCUCCGUCUGAAAAUACUUGUCAUCAAAAUGGAUAAAAAGAGAUGUAUCUAAAACUAAAAUAUGUCUAGAUACAUUUCCUUUUAUCCAUUUUGAUGACAAGUAUUUCCGGACGGAGGGAGUAUUUG
rnacentral:pre_miRNA from 1 species